UACGUAGGGGGCAAGCGUUAUCCGGAUUUACUGGGUGUAAAGGGAGCGUAGACGGCAUAUAAAGUCUGAAGUGAAAUCCCGCAGCUCAACUGCGGAGUUGCUUUGGAAACUUAUAAGCUGGAGUGUCGGAGGGGUAAGCGGAAUUCCCAGUGUAGCGGUGAAAUGCGUAGAUAUUGGGAGGAACACCGGAGGCGAAGGCGGCUUACUGGAAGAUAACUGACGUUGAGGCUCGAAGGCGUGGGUAGCAAAC
rnacentral:rRNA from 1 species